rnacentral:lncRNA from 1 species
GUUUCAGUCUGAUAAGCACUUUUCACUAGCUUGCUGGAGAACAAACCAAGAUAAGAUAGAUUGAGAAUAUAGCCUAACUUUGAAAAGCGCCCUUUUAAGCCUGUAUUUGUGCCUGCUAUGAGAAAGAUUUUCCGCUUGUACAUAUCCGGCGAGGGACGAUAUUUAUUGCCUUCAUCAUAGAGAAGACUCAUUUGCGCCUGCCUUCUGGGAAAGGGACUGAUGGCUAGGAUUAGUCCUUCUGUAUCACCCACCUAUCAAACAUUAUUUACCUAACCUCAUAUGCCACUCACCUUAGUGCUUUUGUCUGUACAAAGAAAAGUGAGGUUUAGCAGAGUUCGAAUGCGGUAGGUUAUAAAUAGAUAUAUUCUUCCAGUAGCCAAGGGUUAGUUUGGAAACUAUAUAAAACAAAACAUACAUACGAACGAUAGGCUUCUGCCGGCAGAAAUCAAAAGAAACGCACGCAGGAGUAAUUAGAAGGAAUAUAAGUCCCCAUGCAGGAUUCAUUAGAAAUGCUGGAAGUCGUUUUCGAUCGAAGUCUUUUGUGACCUGCUUCACUUCAAGCCUUUUCUUUUUUCAUUUAGCAUCUUGGUGUGGUGUUUGGGUAUGUGCUCUCCUAUGGUUAUGGUAAAGUAAAGGUAAUCCGUUUGUGUCGUUUAUGAUGGAUCAUAUUCAAUUCCAUUCAAUUAUCUCAAUAGUGCAGACUUAUCUCAAUAGUGCGGACUUAUCUCAGGGGUGCUUCCGUGGCUAAUCGUAAAGUAGGUUGACCACGUGCUUGACAUGCUCCUUUUCUUUCUCUUUUCUUUAUUUAGGCUACUCUGUCUCCAUCGGUCAGCAUAAGCAGCUGCAUCUACUGAGUAGAAGUUGUAACGAUCUUAUUCUUCUUGUCUUGUAUACGUUAUAAGGAAGCUUAUGUAGCUACUGGUGCAGCUAAAUCAGUUGCUUCUCUGUCUCUUGUGUCUGUCCACUGUUCUGUUGCUCUAGUAGUAGCUAGUCUAUCCUAUGCCUAACAAAUGACGGAAGAUCUAGUGUCUACUAGUACUGAUGUAGUUAUUGUACCUGUAGUCGCGAGGGUUGCAAAUGUCCUUGCUUUUGUGAGGGAAUGGAGUAGCAUUGCUAUAACCUUUACGCGAAGCAGCUAGUGCUUCAGUGGUUCCUGUAGCUCAUGUAGUAGCGUCGGAUGCUACUGGGACUGAGACCCUAUCCCUUAUACCAAAAUCCAUAACAGUGGUAGCACUGUCAAUUUCUCAACUAUCUUUAUCCAGCUCACAAGAAGAGAAGGUUUUAUCCACACCAUUCCACAAAGUCAGGAUGAAACUCUAAAUUCAUGAUUUACCUAGUUCUGUUUCUCGACUACCAACCUACCAUAGUGCCCGGCUCCUGAUUAACCAUGCCAUUUACUGUACUCCUUUCAGAAUUGAGUGUAGUAACCGCAAUAUCACAUUAAGAGAUAGAACCCCCUCCCUUAGCGCCUUACUUACCCUAACAACAAACUGCCUUUAAUUAACUAACUAAUACACCUAGGAGCCGCACUUGUACUAGGUUUAGUCUGAUAUUACCUAAUCUCAAUCAAGCUUACUUGACUUAUAGAAUUCUCCAAAUCCAUACUGCAUUCUGUAUCUCCGCUAUCAACCCACCUCUAUUUGCUCUCAUUCUCUCACUGAUUACUUGCAUCCUAUAUUUCCUCCUUCACUCUUAAGCUGCUAACUAAGAGAAUCAAAUCACUGCUUCGAGGACUUCAAUCACUGACAAUAAGACUAUAGCUCAUAACCAAGACUAUAGCUCGGCAAGCAACUACUAACGACCAAG